CUAGCAACUCCUCCUCCUCCCCCCCUCCUCUUCCUGUCUUGACCGGAAAACCCGCCUCCUCAUUUUAGCCCAGCAGUUGGCUAUUUGUCAUCUUUCUUAGCCAAUCAGAUAAUUAAGGGAAGUUCCUCUACUGAUGGGUAUUACAAAGGCUCCACAAAAAUGAGGGAAACUUUCUACCCCUGAGCCACCUCUGUAAGCCUAAUCUAUUUUGGGAAGGGUUAAGAUUAUUUAGGAAGGUCCAGUAGACUCUUUUCUGUGGUAAGAGAAAACCAGAAGCUACUGCGGGCUCGCUCAGCAAAGCUGGUUUGAGCUCUCUGCUGCUGUUUUUGACCAUGUGAUGGAUGACCUCAAAUUAAGCAUGCACAGGAGUUAACAACGCUCCCCAAGCAUGGAGCAGUCUUUCCUAUCAGAGAAAAUAGAAAUGAAACUGAAGUUAUGAAUGGUUGUGAACCUGGGUCCAAACUACUGAGCCAUCUCUCCAGCCUCUACAGAUCAAUCUUUAAAAAAAGAAAGAAAGAAACUCUGGAUUUGUUUCGUUUUGUUUUUGAAUGUUUCCCUUAGAUGCUAAGUUUGGAGUAAGACAUCUCCUACCCCUGUACCUUUCUUUGCCUGAAUUAAAAUGUUUA
ensembl:lncRNA LOC103690528 uncharacterized LOC103690528